rnacentral:rRNA from 1 species
UACGUAGGGCGCAAGCGUUGUCCGGAAUUAUUGGGCGUAAAGAGCUCGUAGGCGGUUUGUCGCGUCGUCCGUGAAAACUCACAGCUUAACUGUGAGCUUGCGGUCGAUACGGGCAGGCUAGAGUUCGGUAGGGGAGACUGGAAUUCCUGGUGUAGCGGUGAAAUGCGCAGAUAUCAGGAGGAACACCGGUGGCGAAGGCGGGUCUCUGGGCCGAUACUGACGCUGAGGAGCGAAAGCGUGGGGAGCGAACAGG